AUGAUACAUGUUUAUGUUUUGGAAGAACAAAAUGAAGAAGAAUGAACAUGAAUCGAGUAUUGGUUUUUGUUUUGUACAAAUGGGAAACCACACGAGUUGAAAAAAUGCUUCAACAAGAGGGUUGGAAUGCGGUGUCAAUAAGUGGUUGCAAAUCACAGCAUGAGCAAACACUAUCAUUAUUCAAGAAUGGAAGCUGUCCUUUGAUGGUAUGCCGGUUUAUAUAUUGUUAUCAUUAUUAAUUAUAAUUAUAUCAAUUCGCUGCCGCGGAAGUCAAAAAAUAUGUAUGAACUGGUUUAUAGUUGCAUCUCAUCAGCUUUUGAUUGUUUUCUCUGCAUUUCUUUGGUCAUGUUGGGUAAUUGUU